rnacentral:lncRNA from 1 species
CUGAUUACCCCAAAAGUGUUUAAAAAUGUAUUUAUAUGCAUCUUUAUUAUGGUAAAAAUGAAGGAUAAAUAUUUGAAUUCCUCUUUCUUGCCACUGCAGCAUGAGGAACUGAGUGUGUUUUUCCUUAUUCUAAUUUCGCCUUAUCCUCAUUAUUCCAGCUUUUGUUAAUAUCUUGGCAUUUUUCUUUUUAAAAUUAUAAUUUAAAAAUUACUGUUUAUACAGUGUCUAUUUUCUCUUUCAGCAAUUAUUUUAACACUUGAAUUUAGUUUUUGUUCCCAUUGUUAUAUGAGCCACUUAGACUUGACAUUAUAGUUUCAAUGUUCAUUGGAAGGCUUAUUAAAAGCUUACUUUCUGUAUUGGGUUCUUAAUUUUUAUUCAUAUUUUACUUAGCUGGAGAAUAACUUCAAGUAAUUUUUUAAAAAUAAGGACCUGUGAGUGGUUUAUAUUCUGUGACAGUGUACCUCUGAGAAUGACUUUUUGUUUUCUUUAUACAUAUGAGUAACAAAUUAUUUGAGAGUCAAAUUAUUUAGUCAAAAAACUUUUUCUAGGGCCAGCCCAAUGGUGUAGUGGUUGGGUUUGCAUGCUCUGCCUCAGCAACCCAGGGUUUAUGGGUUCAGAUCAUGAGUGUGGACCAAUAUACCACUCAUUAAGCCAUGCUGUGGCAGCAUCCCACAUACAAAAUAGAGAAAGACUGGCACAGAUGUUAGCUCAGUGCCAAUCUUCCUCACCAAAAAUAACCCACCCAUUUUUCUCCUAAAAACUCUGUUGGUGUUGCUUCACAGUUCUCUGACAUUUAGCAAUAGAGAGGACACUCUGUUGCUUUUUGUACAUAAUUUGUGCAAUUUUUUUCCUAUAUCCUUAUAAUUCAACAGUAUUAUAGGAGAUAUCUUAGUGUGGGUCUCUUUUUUUUUUUUAUCUUGCCUGAUAAUUUAAAUACAAGUCUUUGCAUAUCACUUUGGUUCCAGUUGUAGUGAUUUCUUCUGUAGGUAUACCUAUAAUUCUCAUGGGUGACUUAUCUUCUGUGUCUUUUAUUUCUUUCUUGUCUAUCAUCUUUUGAAUACCAUUGUCCUUUUCUUCCACAUUCUUGGAAAGCUGCUCAGGUUUGCCCUUCAUCAGCAAAGAUGGUGCUUCCAUGAACAGUGCUAAACCUCUCCUUUUACUUUCAGUGCAAAUUUUAAUUCUGCUGCUACCAUUUUGCUCUCUGCAGUCCUUAUCUCCCACAACCCAUUUUCAUCUCAUGAUAUUUUUUAAUCUCAUUAUUUCCAUUUUCUUUCUCCACAGAGACAUGUCUGCUUGCCAUGGUUUCUGAUUUCUGAUGGAUACAGAGGGAGCUGUUGCACCAAUGUAAUUUCCAGGGACACUUUUUUCCUGAUGGGGCAGCAAGAGCUUUUGGGGGCCAUACAAGUGUAAGACAAUGAAACAAGGAAGAAUUCUUUGGCUUGCCUCUCUCCUUCCCUUCCCCAGGAAGCAAAGCCAGCUGGUGCAGGAGUCUGAGGCAUCAACUAUAAAAGUUCUACUGGCUUCUGCUUGUCUGCAAAGCAUUCUGGUCUUUGACGAAAAGACUGGCCCUGAGCUAACAUCCACGCCCAUCUUCCUCCACUUUAUAUGUGGGACGCAUACCACAGCAUGGCUUGCCAAGUGGUGCCAUGUCCACACCCGGGAUCCAAACCAGCGAACCCCAGGCUGCCGAAGCGGAAGCAAAUUGCUGUGUUGGAGAGGACUCAUGGCAAGGAACAAGGGUGGUCUCUUACCAACAGCCGAUGAAGAACUGAAGCCUUUAGUCCCACUGAAGGCGUGAGGAACUGAAUCCUGCAACAAUCACAGGAGUGAGGCCGGAAGGAGACCUUUACCCAGUCAGGCUACGAGAUGAAGGCAGCCCUGUUUGUCGCCUUGACUGCAGCCUUGUCAGACACCCUGAGCCAGAGGACUCAACUAAGGUGCAUCUGGAUUCCUGACCCACAGAAACUGUGGGAUAAUAAACGUUUGUUGUUUUAAGCCACUAA